UGAGGAAUAUUGGUCAAUGGGCGAGAGCCUGAACCAGCCAAGUAGCGUGCAGGAUGACGGCCCUAUGGGUUGUAAACUGCUUUUAUAUGGGAAUAAAGUGAGGGACGUGUCCCUUAUUGCAUGUACCAUAUGAAUAAGGACCGGCUAAUUCCGUGCCAGCAGCCGCGGUAAUACGGAAGGGCCAGGCGUUAUCCGGAUUUAUUGGGUUUAAAGGGAGCGUAGGCUGUUUGUUAAGCGUGUUGUGAAAUGUAAGAGCUCAACUUUUAGAUUGCAGCGCGAACUGGCAGACUUGAGUGCGCACAACGUAGGCGGAAUUCAUGGUGUAGCGGUGAAAUGCUUAGAUGUCAUGACGAACUCCGAUUGCGAAGGCAGCUUACGGGAGCGCAACUGACGCUAAAGCUCGAAGGUGCGGGUAUCGAACAGG
rnacentral:rRNA from 1 species